GUCCACGCCGUAAACGAUGGAUACUAGCUGUUGGGGGCAACCUCAGUGGCUAAGCGAAAGUGAUAAGUAUCCCACCUGGGGAGUACGGGCGCAAGCCUGAAACUCAAAGGAAUUGACGGGGGCCCGCACAAGCGGUGGAGCAUGUGGUUUAAUUCGAUGAUACGCGAGGAACCUUACCAAGGCUUAAAUGUAGUUUGACCGAUUUGGAAACAGAUCUUUCGCAAGACAAAUUACAAGGUGCUGCAUGGUUGUCGU
rnacentral:rRNA from 1 species